rnacentral:rRNA from 1 species
AACGAACGCUGGCGGCAGGCUUAACACAUGCAAGUCGAACGCCCCGCAAGGGGAGUGGCAGACGGGUGAGUAACGCGUGGGAAUCUACCCAGAUCUUCGGAACAACUGAGGGAAACUUCAGCUAAUACCGGAUACGCCCUACGGGGGAAAGAUUUAUCGGAUUUGGAUGAGCCCGCGUUGGAUUAGCUAGUUGGUGAGGUAACGGCUCACCAAGGCGACGAUCCAUAGCUGGUCUGAGAGGAUGAUCAGCCACAUUGGGACUGAGACACGGCCCAGACUCCUACGGGAGGCAGCAGUGGGGAAUAUUGGACAAUGGGCGCAAGCCUGAUCCAGCCAUGCCGCGUGAGUGAUGAAGGCCUUAGGGUUGUAAAGCUCUUUCAGUGGGGACGAUAAUGACGGUACCCACAGAAGAAGCCCCGGCUAACUUCGUGCCAGCCGCCGCCGUAACAC